rnacentral:misc_RNA from 1 species
CUCAAAUUCAGGUCAACAAAUGACUAUAAUUUGCCAAUACCAGCCUAAGCUGGAUAUACCUCUUUUCCGUACCAAUGGUGGCUGCAAUGGAACUUGAGCAUAAACCCUCUUUUCAACAGAUAAAUUUCUAUGGACUUACUACAAACAGGUCAAAACCCAAUUGACAUCUAUCUAGUUUUUUCCCACGAGAUGUUCAUUUGUUGGUACACAUGACUGCUGAUGAUCCGCAUCCAUGCGUUCCAGAACCCUACGAGCUUCUUCUUCUGUAGCUGGGACAACUUUACGGAUCCUGAAUUGAGUAUUUGUGGCCUUAGCCUCUGGACGGACAGUAAAUGUGAAGUAGAACCUAUUAGAUACCUCACUAGACCUCUGCUCAGGCCUAGUAACAUGAGCAACAACUUCUACAUUGAUCAGAGGUUGAUCAGUACUCUCAUGUUCAGUGUAAAGUACACAUGAUUUGAAACGCAAAAAGUCUCCAACAUCAACAGGUCUAAGGAAAUUAACAUGAUCAACCUCCAGGAAGGAUGGCAUCAAACCGGCAAAAGCAUAAGCUGUCGAAAAUGCAAGUUCAAAUGCUCUGAGCAUCAGGAAUCCCCCGAAGAUCCGACCAUGAAUAUUUCUUUGCUGUGGCUGGCAAAUCAAAGAAUUCUCAAGGCGGGUAUCUUGGAGAAGAAUGGUGUCCCGAUCUGCCAAGGCUGGCAUGUCACAGAAUAUUCUACCUUCAGCUAAUAGUUCUUCAAGUCUGUUAACUCCCCCAUUUUCAAUUUCCUUUCUGUCUCCCCCCCUCUUUCUUUUCCUAAGGUUAUUUCUAGCUUCAGCUGCUUCAUAGAGCACUUUUUCUGCUUCUGUCUCGGGACAUAAUCGAUUCACUGGAGCAGCUUUCCCUGUCUUGUAAUCACGAGCAACAAAAAUGAAGUUUGCAGUCAGAGCGACUGAUUCUGAGGGAUCACUGUUCCCAUUUGCUGGCUGUAUAACGUCAAGUUGAAUUUCAAUUGAAGAAAAGCCAACCCAAAUGACUGCACCAACCAUUUUCAGAUCAGUGUCAACGCUGAUCGGCUUCUUCAGCACCAUUUUAUCAACAGAAGCAGUCACCAAAUAGAGUGGUCUAGUCAUGCUAUCAAUGUCCGAGCAAUGCUUGACAGAAAUAGUGCCAGCAAGAGCA